rnacentral:tRNA from 1 species
AUGGAUAUAGCUCAGUGGUAGAGCACUUGCUUAGCAUGCACGAGGAACUGGGUUCAAUCCCCAGUACCCCCA